rnacentral:antisense_RNA from 1 species
AAUUACCGUUUUCUUUAAUAUAAAGAGUAUAAAUAUGAGAGAAUAUUUCUGGGAUGUUCAGGACGAAUAGUGUUAACAUGGGAGAAACGAAGAGUACUGUCAAGAAAGAUUCGAAGGCGCCAAACAUGAGCUUUUCGGUAAGUACAUAGGUGAUUGCAGUAGUUGGGAUAGGGACGAAUGAAAGAAGCAUGAAAGAAUCUUUUUUAAGGAUUUUCCAGAAAGUCUUUCUGGAAGGUAUGAGACUCAGGAAGCAUGACAUUGAAGGGUCCAAAGUAUACUUGCUUUUGAGACUGUAUAUCCAUUGGAGCUUCUUUUUAAAUAAUAUAGUCUUCUUAAUAGAGAGAUAAUAAAUAGAUGUAGCAAUUCCCAGAGAUCCUAAAAUUUUCAGUCUGGGAGUUAAGUUUGUGUUGUAAUUAACAUCAUAUAGCCAUAAAAGUUUGCUUCCUGUAGCUACAGAGUAGAUAAAUAUGCUUAUCAAGAAGUAUUUGAUUUGAGUAGAGAAUCUGAAGUGAUGGAGAACUCCUUUUCCAGUAAUAAACUCCAAAGAUGAAUCCCAAACUCCAAGCAAAAAGAAACAUGAAAAUGAGUAGUAUUUUGCAACGAGGUUAUCCAUAUCGUAGGUAAAUAUACAUGGCGUUACAAAAAGAAAGAAACCGAUGAUUCCAUGAAGAGUUAAUGCAAAUCUAUAGUUAUUCAUUAGAUAUGUGAUUAUAUCCAACAUCCCAAAUAGAGAUAGACAGAAUAUAAAUACCCAACAGAGUUUAAGGUGGUGUGUAAUAUGGAAUGCUCUUCCUAAAUUUAAAACCAUAAUAAAAGAAUGGGCUAGAGUAAAUAGUAUAAAUGUAAAUAAAAGAGUAAAAAACCUGAAUCUUAUUGAAAUUGAGUUAUUUUGAUCAAGAUCUUGGUAUAAUUCUUUUAUAUAGCUUUCUUUACGAACUAAUCCAUUAGACUCAAGCUCCACAUUAUUGUAACAAAGACUACUUUUGACAUUAUUUUCACAAUAAUUUAAUUCAUCAGCUUCAGCUACUACUUCGUGAUUCAUCACUUUGAUCUUAUGCGAAGAACAUAGAAUAGAUAUAAUGAAUGGAAAUAAAGUGAUCUUAAUUGUUGGAAUUGCCAACCAAAAUAUUGACUUGUUUAACAAUUUAGAUCUCACAAAAUUCCGAAUUAUAGUUUGCCUGACAAAUCUAAGGUAUAAUUUAUAAAAUGAAAAUAAUCCAAUAUUAUCGUCAUAUUUCUGGUCAAUAGGUACCCAAUUUGGGAAAUCUGGCAUUAAAUAAGAGGAAAAAGGCAUUACCACAAAUAAUACCACAAAAAACAUUGGUAAAUAUUUUAUUAAAAUUGUAAUGAAUACAUAUCGGAAUUUAAACGGUGUUUUAAAAUAAAAGCUUCUUCCCAAUACAUAGAAGAACAAUAUUAAUGAAAAUGAUAACCACGUCCCAAUAUAUCCCAAUAGAGUUUGAGAAAAGUAUGUAAAAUGGCCAUUUUCUGAGUAGCUAUCAAUAAUUGUAAUUGUCAUCAAAAACAAAAGAGAAAUCGUCUUUAGAUGCCCAUCUGUCAAGCAGUUAACUUUAAAUUC